CUGCCACAAUGAACCAGUCUGGUUUCGACCUGACUAGGUGGCUCACACCAGUGCUUCGGACAGCGGUUCGAUUCCGCUCAGCUCCAUUCCCCCCAUCUCGGGGCUGCAAUGGUUUCGACGGGGUAUAAGGAGGGUGACUGAAGCCUGCUCGGUAAGAGCAAAUCCGUAACAGCGAAUAACAUCGUUCGUUUCUCCCGUCAGACCGCCCCCGUGGCCGCCUGACCCUUUAAGGGAGAUGGGGUGAGAUCAGCCUUAUCACCCAAAUGAUCCAUGGGGCCUGGAAGGGCCC
rfam:Cyanobacterium BACL30 MAG-120619-bin27 contig00365_1_120619-bin27, whole genome shotgun sequence.